AUUGAACGCUGGCGGCAGGCUUAACACAUGCAAGUCGAGCGGAGAUGAGGUGCUUGCACCUUAUCUUAGCGGCGGACGGGUGAGUAAUGCUUAGGAAUCUGCCUAUUAGUGGGGGACAACAUUCCGAAAGGAAUGCUAAUACCGCAUACGUCCUACGGGAGAAAGAAGGGGAUCUUCGGACCUUGCGCUAAUAGAUGAGCCCAAGUCGGGUUAGCCGGUUGGUGGGGUAAAGGCCAAACAAGGCGACGAUCUGUAGCGGGUCUGAGGGGAUGAUCCGCCACACUGGGACUGAGACACGGCCCAGAAUCCUACGGGAGGCAGCAGUGGGGAAUAUUGGACAAUGGGGGGAACCCUGAUCCAGCCAUGCCGCGUGUGUGAAGGAGGCCUUAUGGUUGUAAAGCACUUUAAGCGAGGAGGAGGCUACUGAGACUAAUACUCUUGGAUAGUGGACGUUACUCGCAGAAUAAGCACCGGCUAACUCUGUGCCAGCCGCCGCGGUAAAAC
rnacentral:rRNA from 1 species